rnacentral:rRNA from 1 species
CAGCGCCACAAGUGGGAACCAGAUUUAUUGGGCCUAAAGCGUUCGUAGCCGGUUAUGUAAAUCUUUUGUGAAAUCGUCAAGCUUAACUUGACGGACUGCAGAAGACACUGCUUAACUUGGGACCGGAAGGGGUCAGGAGUAUUUAAUGGGGAGCGGUAAAAUGCUAUAAUCCAUUAAGGACUACCUGUGGCGAAGGCGCCUGACCAGUACGGGUCCGACGGUGAGGAACGAAAGCUAGGGGAGCGAUCCGGAUUAGAUACCCGCGUAGUCC